CACUGCCGCAGGGCAGGGCAGAGCCUGGCAGCCAGGAAGGCGGUGCCUUAGGAGAAAGCAUGCUUGGCAAGGACCGCCAAACAGGGCAACCUGCUGCUCAGCAGUGGGGAGUGAGGAGGAGAAAGUGUGAGAAACAGCUGUGCAAAGGCCAAGCGCAACCCUUGGAAGAGAGCACGCCGGCGCGGGUCGAUGUGUCCUGAGGGAAGCUGCAGGCCCCAGAGAGCACGCACAAGAGCCUGCAGGGCACCGUGCAUGGGUAAAGCAAGGCGUCCUUCACUGCCUGCA